GUGACGAUCUUUUGGGCGGAACCAAAAGUCGGGAAACUUUGGUUCCGCCCGGAUGUUUCCGUCCAGACCGGAGAACAGGAACACCGGACAUCCGGCAGAUUCGCGGAGGCUGUAAUCAGCCGAUUGGGCACAGCUGUGCCUAGUUAAAAGAGAUCGCCAGGCAAUUGGAUAACUGAAGCACAGAAAGGAGUAUUUAAAGCACAGUUAAAUGACAGUUCAGGAGUUCGGGCACGAGAGGGGGAUUGACACGGGGAGAGCUCCUCUGCUUAGGGCAGGAGAGGUAAAUACGUACCUUUUGAAGAGCCCGCAGGCUCUGUUGAUCCGGGCUGCGCUAGAAGCGCGCGGAAAGAAGACAGGAGCUGCCUGGGGUGAAAGAAAGGCGAUACGUGAGUGGAGAAAAGGAGCACCCCGAAGAGAGCAUUGUGCUGUCAAGCCUGUGCUUAGUGUGUGCUGGAAAGCGGAGCUGUGCUCAUUUUUGGACGUGGUGGCUGUCUGUGGUUCUCUCUCUCUCUCGUCGUAGUCUUUAUUGUGGACCUGCUGGAGUAAACAGGAAAACCCUAUGGGUAAGAAGGAACUUUGUGCUAACCAAUACUGAAGGAGUAAAGCAGGAAGAAAAUUGACCUUCUGGUACAACGUAAACAAAGGCUACCCGCCGUGAGUAUACCCUUUUUGUGUGGAGUAACUGGCAAAAAUUAACUUGUGUAACCAUUGGAAACCUCCAGGAGAAGGAGGGCGGCCCUACCCCUACAAGAGUGUGGUGGGCGAGCCGUGAGAAGUCCAACUUCAAACAGCCACCGCAACGAGACUUAUUGUGGUCGUAUUUCCCAUCGCCUUAUCAUAGCCCAAGCGCAGUGGAGGACACCGGGCGCUUCCCCUGUUGUGGUGCACUUAUAGUGUGGUGAGUGAGAUUGUGUAAUAAAUCUUUUUCACGUUUGGAGUGGUGCUGUGUAUUGCUGUGGGUUGCUGUGUGUCUUGUAGACGAAGCCCCGCAUCAUCCAUUUUCUUCCACUGGGCAGAGGAUGGAGAGGCCAACGACUACAGAAAUCACUGUUACUAUAAGUAGUGUGCUGUUUGGAGUGCGAAGGGACGCAGACUAAGAGCUGUCCGUGACCGUGAGUAAACCAUUGGAAAACAUUUCGUGGUGUGAACUUACCUGUGCCUGCUUUCGUCGCAGAGUCAGAGGCGAAAGGGUCCGCCGCCCCGUGGUCUCUACGAAAAGGGCGCCCCCGUCUGGAAAUCGAUCGGCCUAUGGGCAUUGGAGAUAGGGCAGCGCUCGACCCGGUGAGGUGGUGUGGGACCUUCGCCCCUCUGUUGACCUACGGAGGAGAACCAUACCUACCCAGAAAGCUGUAAACAGCAGAGCCGCGGCCACCUGUGGAGAGAGAGCAGAACGAGAGUGAAUCAUUGGAGAGCAAACUGUGAACGUGAUACCUACCCAGAAAGCUGUAAACAGCAGAGCCGGUGAGAAUUACUCGAAGUCUCAGCAACAGUGUCUUUGUGUUCUAGCGGCCACCUGUGGAGAAAGAACGGAAAACGAGGAUGAACAUGAGGAGAAUGGACUGUGUGAAGAUACAGUGGUGGUGGAGGAGAGCCUAGAGUGGCCAUUGUUUUAAGUCCCCCGUUUCCCCUUCCCUAUUUAAUAUUUUUAAGUAAUUUAAUAAAGGAUAUUUUAAUUUUA